UACGUAGGGGGCUAGCGUUGUCCGGAAUCAUUGGGCGUAAAGAGCGUGUAGGCGGCUCGGUAAGUCCGCUGUAAAAGUCAAAGGCUCAACCUUUGAAUGUCAGUGGAUACUGCCGGGCUAGAGUCCGGGAAGAGGCGAGUGGAACUCCUGGUGUAGCGGUGGAAUGCGCAGAUAUCAGGAAGAACACCAAUGGCGAAGGCAGCUCUCUGGGACGGUACUGACGCUGAGACGCGAAAAGCGUGGGGGAGCGAAACAGGAUUAGAACCUUCCGAGUCA
rnacentral:rRNA from 1 species